CAGCACAGGAGUCAGCCUGCUCUGAUUUGCUAGUGCGUCUAGAGUGUUGACAGUUGUUUCCAUGGACUUCAAAUCAACCCAACCCUGUGAGCACAGACUUUCAGCACCAGAGUCAGAUUUCCCAAAAAUGCUAUUCUUGAAGCGUAGAGCCAGACUCACAGAUCCUGUAAAGAAAACAGAUCUUUCAGCAAGUGAAACACCCAAUCUUCCAUUGCAUGGGACUCACAGAGGUUCUGAGGGAGAGAUGUGAAUAGAAGGAGUGAUCAUCACUGUGGACUCUAUUUCUUCCAUCUGUGCGUGCAAGAUUUAUAUCUGUAUGUGUUUGUUUUAAAGUUUUAUUGAGGUAUAAUUGAUACACAAUAAUCUGUACCUAUUUAAUGUAUACAAUUUGAUGAGUUUGGACAUACU
ensembl:lncRNA novel transcript